UCUAUAUAAAGCUUAAGCAAUUUAGACAAUAAUUCAACCGAGAGUACAAAAAGGCUAGGUGAGAGAGGAUCUCCCUGUCUGAGGCCUCUUCCAGAUUUAAAGAAGCCAUGUCUUCUUCCAUUAACUAGCAGCGUGUACCAGUUAUUAGAUAUGUACCUGUAUAUAAGAUCAAUCUAAGACUCUGCAAAGCCAAAUUUCCUCAGAAUAAAGCAAAGAAAAGGCCAUGAAACUCUAUCAUAGGCCUUUGACAUAUCAAGUUUAAUCACAACAUUACCC
rnacentral:lncRNA from 1 species